UACGAAGGGUGCAAACGUUGCUCGGAAUUACUGGGCGUAAAGCGUGCGCAGGCGGUGAUGUAAGACAGUUGUGAAAUCCCCGGGCUCAACCUGGGAACUGCAUCUGUGACUGCAUCGCUGGAGUGCGGCAGAGGGGGAUGGAAUUCCGCGUGUAGCAGUGAAAUGCGUAGAUAUGCGGAGGAACACCGAUGGCGAAGGCAAUCCCCUGGGCCUGCACUGACGCUCAUGCACGAAAGCGUGGGGAGCAAACAGG
rnacentral:rRNA from 1 species